rnacentral:rRNA from 1 species
UAGCAUAUCAAUAAGCGGAGGAAAAGAAACCAACCGGGAUUGCCUCAGUAACGGCGAGUGAAGCGGCAAGAGCUCAAAUUUGAAAUCUGGCCCCUUUGGGGUCCGAGUUGUAAUUUGCAGAGGAUGCUUCGGGUGCGGUCCCCGUCUAAGUGCCCUGGAACGGGCCGUCAUAGAGGGUGAGAAUCCCGUCUGGGAUGGGCGGCCGCGCCCGUGUGAAGCUCCUUCGACGAGUCGAGUUGUUUGGGAAUGCAGCUCUAAGCGGGUGGUAAAUUUCAUCUAAAGCUAAAUACUGGCCGGAGACCGAUAGCGCACAAGUAGAGUGAUCGAAAGAUGAAAAGCACUUUGAAAAGAGAGUUAAACAGCACGUGAAAUUGUUGAAAGGGAAGCGUUGUCCACCAGACUCGCCCGGGGGGGUUCAGCCGGCACGUGUGCCGGUGUACUCCUCUCCGGGCGGGCCAGCAUCGGUUUGGGCGGCUGGUGAAAGGCCCCGGGAAUGUAACACCCUCCGGGGUGCCUUAUAGCCCGGGGUGCCAUACAGCCAGCCUGGACCGAGGCCCGCGCUUCGGCGAGGAUGCUGGCGUAAUGGUGGUCAACGGCCCGUCUUGAAACACGGACCAAGGAGUCUAACAUCUAUGCGAGUGUUCGGGUGUCAAACCCGUCCGCGCAGUGAAAGCGAACGGAGGUGGGAGCCUUUCGGGGCGCACCAUCGACCGAUCCUGAUGUCUUCGGAUGGAUUUGAGUAAGAGCAUAGCUGUUGGGACCCGAAAGAUGGUGAACUAUGCCUGAAUAGGGCGAAGCCAGAGGAAACUCUGGUGGAGGCUCGCAGCGGUUCUGACGUGCAAAUCGAUCGUCAAAUUUGGGUAUAGGGGCGAAAGACUAAUCGAACCAUCUGGUAGCUGGUUCCUGCCRA